AGAAUACCAUUAAAUGUUUAUAAAUUCAUUUCAUUUUUGGCAACGUUUAAUAUCUGUUAUCGAAUUCGGGAAUUCCUAUUCGUUUCACCGACCGAGUGUGACUUACUUUAUUGUUUUAGUUUAAACUUUCUCGUUAAAUGUUAAGAUUUUAAUUACAAACCUCGUGUAAUAGAUCACAAUCAACUGAUCAAAAAUGGAAAAUACAAGCAAUGAAACGUCCUUUGAAAAACUGCAGCCAGAUACGAAAAUGCAAAUACUCUUGACGUCGUUGAAUUUUCUAAUGGUUUUCCUUUCGGUCGCUUGCUUGGUUAUUUAUUUGAUCAAGUUUUUUAGAUCCAAUAGGCCUACUCAAACAUUAGCCACUAGAAAUCUUACAAUGUAUUGUGUUUACUUGCUUAUCAUUUAUUUUGUCUCGUAUGUUGCUGAACCUUUCGUUGGACUUGACUUUUUACAGUAUCAAAAAAUAGUUGACGUAUUUAUGCGUAUAUUAUUACCAUAUUCAUUAUUUAUAAUGGCUUUCGAUACAUGCUUGUGUCUGAGAAGCAAUGUAGUAGAUUUUAAAGCUUCUUCGUCAUCGUUAGAGCCGAAUAAUCGGAAAUUUCUCAUUUAUCGUUUAUCUGAAAUUAGCGUUUCUUUACUUAUUGCUAUAUUUGUUGAAUAUUUUCCUUUUUGUUCUAAAGGUAUAAUUGUGGUAAAAGAAGUAGUGAUACUGAGUAUUGGUUUGCUUUGUAUCAUUUUUUAUAUCGCUGCCGAAUGCUACGUCAAUAUGGCUAAGAUCAAUAGAUUAUCACUACCGUUUGAAUUUUCUCUAUAUUUACGUGUUCUGAUGGCGAUUGGAAUAAUUUCCUUCUUCCGAAACACAUUGUUCGGAAUUAGGUUAAUAUUGAUACUUCGUAAUGGAAUUUCAAGCCAACUACUAAAUUACUUGGUGGAACUCUCUUUGAAUGCCGAAGGAUUACUUAUUGGAGUAAUUUUCAUAUUCAAGAAGGAUAUUUUCCAAAGGAAACUCGAUCAAUUAACUGUACCAAUAAAUUCAGCCUGAAGUCAAAGUCUUUAGUCUCCUCAAAAAAAAAAUUACAAUACCUACCUACGUAGUUAUCAACUUGAUGUUUAGUGUACCUAUAAUUACUUUUUAGCUUAGUUGCCUAGUCAUGAUGUUUUAAAAUUUGUAUACUUAUACUAGUCCUAGGUACCUACCAAAAAAAACAAUUUUAUGAUGAAAUAAGGUAUACACAUUACGCUAGGACUUGUGUUCAGAUUAUAAUUUUGUAUGUAUUUGUAAUUUUGAUGACUGCAUUUUGUGGUUUAGCAUUUUACAGUUUAGAAGGUCAUUAAAUGUUGAUAUUCAAAACUUGA